rnacentral:lncRNA from 1 species
GUGUCGAUUACUUUUUGAAUGUAUUUUUUUCUUUUUAGAUGGAGGUGAGGAUCUCUGGUAUUUUUUAAAUGGAGGGUUAUGCAAAGUGGCACUCGCUGGUAGGCUACAGUGGUAAUUUUUUUUCCUUUUUUACUUCUUUUAUUAGAUGAAGGUGAAGAUUUUUUUCUUAGAUGUUUUUGUAGACAGAGGCGAGGACUCUAUAUAUGUUUUUUAAAUGAAAAUAUUCGCGCAACUUCCUCUCAAGCGGCGCCAUAGGACGGCACCCCAACCACUAGUUAUCAAUCAACAUGAACAUUUCCUUAUAUCCUAACAAUUUCUUGAAAUUUGUCAACAUUUUUGUAAUUUCAAAUUGUGUAUGGAAAUUUUACAAACUUGAACACUUUUUCAAACUAUGACAAAUUCCCUAUAAUUUAUGUUGAACCCUAAUUGUAGACCACAUACCUUUUCAAAAUUUAUUAACUUUUCUUUAAAAUGCAAACAUUUCUUAAUUGUAGACCACGUACCUUUUCAAAUUCCAAUAUAUUUUAUAAAAUUGUAAACAUAUUUGAAAAUAAUAACAUUUUUAGUAUUAUAAAAACAAAGAAAUGGAAAAGAAAAAAUCUUAGGCCUUGGCCCACCUAAGCGACCGCAUCGCUCCCGUCGAGCCCCUGUUGGCCCAAGCGUUCACAUAUUUGAAAAAAAAUCAUCAAUUUUGAAAAAUAAUGUUCACGAAUUUGAAAAAUAAUUGCGGGCUUUAAAAGAGUGUUCGUAAGUGUUGAAACGAGUACGUGGAUUUGAAAACUGUGCUCACAAAGUUAAGAAAUUUUUCAUGAAUUUAAAAAGUUCAUAGAUUUCUGAAAAGGUUUGUGUUUAAAAAUAUUCAUGAAUUUUGAAAAAUAAAAGAAACUGAAAAAGGAAAACAAAGCGAAAAUAAAACUUUUGGAGAAAAAGCAAAAAAAAAAAGCUGAAGUUAGUUAGUGUUAUAUUUGAAGAGGAAAAAAGAAAGGUAACUAGACAUGAUAAGAAAGUAGUCUAGUUGGUUACCACGGUUGUACCAAGCAUACAUGUGCUGGUUUAAAAUCUCGUCAGGCACAAAGAGGAGAAAAGGUGUAAAAUUGGCCGACCCAGGGUGGUACGUACACAGGCCGUGUAUCCCACUCAGUCCGGGCGAUCUACUUUUACAAAAGUUCUUCACUUGUUAAACUAACUUUUUUUAUCUAUAGAUUGUUGUGAUCGGUUGUUUUUUGAUUUUAUCUGUGUUGGUUUGUGUUUUAAUUUUGUAUUGGUGGUGUUGUUUUGUUCAUAUAUCAUGUUGGGUUGAUGUUGGAGUUAUUUGAUGUGUGGUUGUGAAGUCUUUGCAUAUUUUGGCCUUGUUGUCAGCCCGGUGGUGAUUGUGUGAACCCUUUGGAAGUUCUUAUUUCACGCUAAACCUAUAGAAUUGCUACUCUGACGCUCACAUGGGUCAGCACAUGAAGCUCUUGCUCACUCAGCUUCGCUCACUGCUCCUCACUCGUUUAGUUUUUUUAUUCACCCCACUUCUAGCUUAGAAAAAAAUUCCUGUCUUUUUAAUUUAAAAAUAUUAGUUAAAUUAAAUGAAGUUUAAGGAACUUUAAAAAUAUCAUGACUUUUAAAAACAAUGAAUUUCAGAAACUUUCAUGAAUUUAAAAUAUAGUCAUGGUUUCAAAAAUGUUUGCAAAAUAAAAAGUUUUCAAUUUUAAAAACGUUCAAAAACUUUAAUUGACCAUGAACUUUAAAAAUAUCCACAAAUUGAUUAAAUAUUAAAGAAUUUGGAAAACAAUAUGUUUAUGUUUUUUAAAGUACACAAAUUUUAAUAAGUGCUCAUGAAUUAAAACGUGAAAAAAUAAAAUAAAAAGAGAGAAAAAAAACACUGCACACUGACGCGUAGGGCCCCGGUGACCCCCACGACCCUCGAAGCACCAUAGCGCUUCAAUUUGAGGGAGCUUAGUAUCUUUAUAAAAUUGUAAACAUAUUUGAAAAUAAUAACAUUUUUUGGUAUUAUAAACAAUGUUUACAAUUUUAAAUAGGUUUAAAAAAUAAAUUUCAAAAGUGGGGAAAAUGGAUUGACGAAAAAAGAAAAUAAAAACAAAGAAAUGGAAAAGAACAAAGCUUAGGCCUUGGCCCACCUAGGCGACCGCAUCCCUCCCGUCGAGCCCCUGUUGGCCCAAGCGUUCACAUAUUUGAAAAAAAUUCAUCAAUUUAGAAAAAUAAUGUUCACAAAUUUGAAAAUAUAUUGUGGGCUUUAAAAGAGUGUUCGUAAGUGUUGAAACGAGUACGUGGAUUUGAAAACUGUGCUCACAGAGUUAAGAAAAUUUUCAUGAAUUUAAAAAGUUCAUAGAUUUAUGAAAAGGUUUAUGUUUAAAAAUAUUCAUGAGUUUUGAAAAAUAAAAGAAACUGAAAAAGGAAAACAAAGAGAAAAUAAAACUUUUGGAGAAAAAGCAAAAAAAAAAAACAGGCUAAAGUUAGUUAGUGUUAUAUUUGAAGAGGAAAAAAGAAAGGUAACUAGACACGAUAAGAAAGUAG